rnacentral:rRNA from 1 species
GACGAACGCUGGCGGCGUGCUUAACACAUGCAAGUCGAACGGAAAGGCCCUGCUUUUGUGGGGUGCUCGAGUGGCGAACGGGUGAGUAACACGUGAGUAACCUGCCCUGGACUUUGGGAUAACUUCAGGAAACUGGGGCUAAUACCGGAUAGGAGCUCCUGCUGCAUGGGGGGGGUUGGAAAGUUUAGGCGGUUGGGGCUGGACUGGCGGGUUAUCAGCUUGUUGGUGGGGUAGUGGCUUACCAAGGCUUUGGAGGGUAGCCGGCCUGGGAGGGUGACCGGCCACAUUGGGACUACGAUACGGCGCAGACUCCUACGGGAGGCAGCAGUGGGGAAUAUUGCACAAUGGGCGGAAGCCUGAUGAAGCAACGCCGCGUGCGGGAUGACGGCCUUCGGGUUGUAAACCGCUUUCGCCUGUGACGAGGCGUGAGUGACGGUAAUGGGUAAAGAAGCACCGGCUAACUACGUG